rnacentral:rRNA from 1 species
UACGGGGGGUGCAAGCGUUAUUCGGACUUAUUGGGCGUAAAGGGCGCGUCGGCGGUUGAAUAAGUCAGAUGUGAAAGCCCUUGGCUUAACCAAGGAAGUGCAUUUGAUACUAUUUGACUUGAGUAUGGGAGAGGGAAGUGGAAUUCCUGGUGUAGAGGUGAAAUUCGUAGAUAUCAGGAGGAACACCGGUGGCGAAAGCGACUUCCUGGACCAAUACUGACGCUGAGGCGCGAAGGCGUGGGGAGCAAAUAGG